GCGGUGGGCUGAAGGGCGAUUCGCCAGGCCCAGCAGGGUGAGGAGACAGACGGAUGAGGGAGAUGUCGGAGAUGACGGGGCUGCCGCUCAGGGGAGGAGGCCUGGAGAGGAAACAAAGAAAUACAAUCACCUGUGGCUGUCUGUCCUUCCUCCAACCCUACUGGUCUGUUACAGCAGGAAGGGCGAAAGGUCGCGACUUGAGCGGUACCCUCAGGAUGAAACCCUCAAAACAAGAAAGCAAAGGAUGCGCAGAUCGUGGUGUGCCAGGAGGAAGUUGUCCUGACCUUAUAUGCCUGCCUGAGAGCCUGACAAUGAUGUGAAAGAGCUCUCCCAGCACCACAGCAAAGUUCUAACAGUCCAAAAAAGCAACCCAAUGCUGCAUGAUGGAGUUGGAAGUCUGAAGAUGGCAGCUUCAUGGCCCACUGGGAAGAAGGAGACCCGAGACAAAUCACCGCUAACUCCCAGCCCUCCCCUGCUGGGAUGUUUCUUUGUUUUUCCUGUAUUUUCUCAGCUUUAAAAUGAGAUCAAUACAUUAUUUCUUUAUACUCACAAAAAUGGAUAUUACAGAAAAUUGAAGUUACCUUUACCAAUUCAGCAACUAAUGCUCUCGCUGUGAAGCUGGAUAAAAAUUUCUACAGCUUCUCUGCAGAAAUGUAAGGGGCAUGCUUUGAGCAGUUCCCAUUUUCUUCUUUCCCCUCAAAUAUGGCCUUGAGGCAUUGAAAACUAGAAAAAUAAUUAAUAUAUAUACAUAUAUAUAUAUUUAAACAGUGAGGGCAAAUUCUCAUUAGAACAGUUUAUGAAGGAAAGUGGUAAAUACAGCGCUGCUGCAAUACUUUAUGGCAAAACUAGAUGUUUUUCUAAAAGAUGUGUUUUAAGUGUUUGGAGGUUUGGAGUUUAAUAGUCGGAAAGAGUAAUUUAUCCCAGUGUAGAAAUGAAAGGGGAAGGAGUUCUAUGGUUGGUGUCACAGAUGUUAGAUCAGAUAACUGUGGUAGCUGCUGUGGGUCUUCACACACAAAAAUCUCUGAAUAUAAAAACCCUUAUUUGUGGAUUUGUGGUUAGGGCCCUGCUUUUAGAAGGAUUUAUUUAGGCGUUAUGAAAAAUCCCAUUGCACACCCAUUGGCAAUGGUAGUUGUCUAAAUGCCUUUAAAGAUUAUGCCUUGAAGUCUAAUCUUGUACCACUGAAGUCAAAGGAAACUCUGCCACUGACUCUGGCUUGGGGAACAAGAAUGGGCCUCCAACUGUUUGAUUACUCUGUUUUCCAGCCACACCAUGGAAACAGCAUAGUAAACUAUGGUGGGUACAGUUCCUUAGUAAAUUUUUUUCCAUUUCUUAGAAAAACGUAUUCAGGACUUUAUGCAACUUCUAUACCAUGAGGUCAAUUUUAUAUAUUUGUUCCAAGUAAGAAAGAUGUUUGUGUUUUUUUUAGCUCUAAAGCUAAAGAUAAAGCCAAACAUCCUUUAUUUUGCCUUAUGAAAGACCAUUCUGUUUUCAGACACUCCUGACUAGGUUAAAAUACCUAGAACCAAGAACAAAUGUAACAAAGGUUUUAAAUCCACUCAAUGUGGCUGUGUUAAUAUUUUUAAUCAAUGAAAUAAAAAGUGUUUUCAUUUAGAACUUCAACAUUUUUUUUAACCUAAGGUCCACCAGAAGUUAGCAAUGUUCUUGAGCUCACGGGUUGCUCACAGCAUCUGGGGACCACAGCAUUGCUUGGAAGGAGCAAAGCUGGCAGCAGAAGUAACCCUGCAUAGGAAGUGGUCCUCAGAAUAGAAACUGUCCUAUCUACAUACAGAUUUUUAUUCUAUUUACACAACAUUUAGCACAACGAGGGUCUAGCCUUGGCUGACAUUAAAGGCACAACCGCAAUACAAUACAACAAUAAUAAUAUUUGCUAUUAAAAUGGAAGAAAAACAUGUAUUUUAAAUAACUAAGAUUGCCCUCCAUUAUGCAACAGACAAAGAAGUCAGACAUCAAAGGUAGAAAUCAGAGUUGAUAUGGGACCUUCAAACCCAAAUCAAAUUAGUGUCUUGAGGAGAGAUCUUUGAUUUAAGCUUAACAGUGGUGAUUUUUUCCUGGGUUGUUUUAUACUUAAUCAGCCUCACAGCCCACUUUGCAGACAUAUGUUCCCAAAACACAUCAAAGAGAGUAAACAUUCUGUUUCAGAUCUUAAUAUACUUUUUUAUCCAAUUACCUUACUUACACGAUCUUUUAAUUUACGUUCUGAAAGCCCACCUUUUCACACAAGCUUUCCUUUAGCAGUGGAGGUAGAAGGAUGACCACCUCAGUUCUUGUGAGAUAUCCGCCAAAAAAAACACAACACAAUGAAUAAAUCAAAGCACGGUAGAUGAGUCUCAAA
ensembl:lncRNA